UUUAAAACCAUCCCUUCCUUCAUCCAACUGUAUUUAGAUCAGUGACUACCUCAUUAAAGGCAGUAAGGAAGGAUGCAUUUGUAAGUAUUGGAAUAAGGCCUGAAUGUGAAGGUGUGACUGUGCCAGUUUGCCAGCUGCUGUGUCAGAAGCACUGACUCCUGAACUUGAGGAGGACAUGAUGCAGAGUGAGGUGAUGCAAGGGGAGGCCCCGGAGCAUGAGACCCAGGGGAACAACAUUGACAUAUCCUAUGAACUACCAGUAGAGGGAGCUAAACUCAACAACCUGAUGGCAGUCCUCCUCCUCUCCCGCUCCUCCAUCUCCUCCUCAACUCACUGACGGAUCCCACUUCAUGUGUGUGUAGACGUGUCGAGGAGGUGGUUCUGUGAACUGAACUACACUCACCCAGACAUUGACCUUGGUGAGCAGUGACUCAUAAGCGAUGCCAGCCUGGAGACCCAAGAUGGCAUCCUACAGAGCCAUGAUGGCACCAGCCAGUCUGCACAGAGCAUGCCCAGUAUCUCUCUGUAUGUAUAGAAACGACUGUAGCCAGACAGAUAGAAAGAGUAGAUCCACAGGCCUGCUCGUAUUACUUACUGCCGGCCUACACAAUAACUGUGAUGCAAAACUUUUUCAUUCACACAGAGAUAUCAGAGGACAAGAUAGUAUUACCAGAGUGAUAAUUGAUGAUGAUGAUUAUUAUUACAUUUCCAAUGCUUAUUACAGGUAUUAUGAUGGUCUGUUAUUUUGGACAUGUUCUGUGAGGAUGUCUUGAGUGUCUAUGAGCAGAGCACUGCUGUGAAAAGGAGAGGACUGUACAGUUGUAAAUAAGAGCACUAGAGGAGUCUCACACUGGGAAGAUCUCAAUUGCAUACUACUUGUGUCCUGUCUCCUCGUCUCCUUCUCAAAUCCCACUGGAGGAGAAGGUCAGAGGGGAAGGAUAUCUGGCUUUCUCAUCUAAUGGGUUUUGAGAAGGAGACAAGGAUCUGAGGACGGGAGGAGUAUGCAUUUGAGGUCUUCCCACAAUCACACACUAUUGAGAGGGCGAAGCACCAAAUCUACACACACUAAGGCAGUGCUUUCCUUUAACCACACGGGGGCGCCAUAUGCUCUUGUCUUUUUUUACUGGUUUUACUCCCAUUUAAGUUUUUAACCUGAGGCCCUAAACGUUUCAUUUUCCACAUAUUUUACACCGCACAUUCCCUCAUUGUUCAAAGAAGUUGUUAAUAUAUACAUAUAUAAAACAUAUAGAAUGAACUAACUAUACAAUGGGUUUAUACUUCAAUAAGGUGCCACCCUAUUGCUGCUGUUGGACAGAGUUUAAAUAUUUUAUAAAGGUUGUGUUUAUUUAUGUCGGGAGGAUCGGGAUCUGGUCGCCGCUGACAACCACACGUAAAUGUCCUGGGUUAGAAUCGAUCUGCUUCUCUGUUUUUUUUUUCUACGGCUGAGAUAUAUUUAAAGUAAAAUAUAGAAGAGAGAGAAAAUAGUUUUAUGAGAUUAGGGUUGUGUGUUAGAUUCUGUCUGGUUGUGUGGAGUCCUGGACAGAGAGAAGAGAAUAGCACAUGUAUAAGCAAUAAGCAGGUGUUUUGUUCCUCCAGGACAUUAAAAUAUAAUGUACAUAAAAUGUAAAGUUUCAUUGUGUAAAUGAUGUACACCAUAGAAAGAGCAGAG
rnacentral:lncRNA from 1 species